UACGUAGGGUGCGAGCGUUAAUCGGAAUUACUGGGCGUAAAGCGUGCGCAGGCGGUCUGUUAAGACCGAUGUGAAAUCCCCGGGCUUAACCUGGGAACUGCAUUGGUGACUGGCAGGCUUUGAGUGUGGCAGAGGGAGGUAGAAUUCCACGUGUAGCAGUGAAAUGCGUAGAGAUGUGGAGGAAUACCGAUGGCGAAGGCAGCCUCCUGGGCCAACACUGACGCUCAUGCACGAAAGCGUGGGGAGCAAACAGGAU
rnacentral:rRNA from 1 species